rnacentral:lncRNA from 1 species
UUUCUUUGCAGUCGCCAAGAAUGAUACCACAUUUAUCACAACCAUAGACCUUGAGAUUAGUUUCUUGUAUGCUUCUUGAGGGCAGGGACCACAUGAUAUCACAUUUAUCAUUACCAUAGAUGAUCGAGAUUCGUUUCUUGUUUGCUUCUUGUGGGCAGGGACUACGCAUGAGCUAUGUGGUAUCCACAGAAGCUGCCGCAAUGCCUAGCCGAGAGAAGGACUUCAAAAAGCCUAUGCUGGGUACAUAGACACUGUCCCUGAAGUCACAUCACUCUGGAUUUAAUAGGAGAAAUGGACUGUAAACCAGAAGUGGCAAAUUCUGGCAUCUGGGCAUGCACAGACCUCAGUGGGCUUUUUUGGAACUACUGCAAAUGGUUCACCAGUCCCUUCCAGUCUUGAUCCUUUCACACCUGGCUAAAUCUUCAAGCAGUCAGCCACGAAGAAGACUGUUCUACAAGAGAAGAAACACGGGCUUUGGGUCGGCCAUCUUGCUCUGCCACUUGGGUGUGCAGUGACCUUGGGAAAUUACUUAACCAUUAUGGCCUCUGUAAAAUGGAAAUAAAAAGGAACUUCUUCCAAAGAUCAUUGCAAUGAUUUAAAAUAUGAUGCCUAAAUAAUGAAAACAUGCCUAGAACCUUGUGUACAGUUAGUAAAUGUCAAUUAUUGUCAAUUUUAUAACUUUUGAUUGACAAAGGCUUCAGACAAAGGAGAGGGCAGUGGGGGCUUGGUAUUUUCAUGAAAGAUUUCUUGGAGGUUGCUUUUCUGCAAACAUUGAAUUAAAAGAAGACUUCUUUGGAGAAGAGAGACUGCAUUUAGAUCUUGAAGGAUGAAAAGAUUUAGCUGGACAGAGAUGACUCCUUGGGUUGGGCUGAUGUAUUGAAGGUGCUAUCUGGCCACUGGGUGCUGAGAGGUGUCAGAUAUAUAUCUGUUCUCCCCUGGAAAAUAAUUUCUGCUGCCAGUGCUAUGCAGCUUAGCAUGCUCUUCUGAGUGAAGCUUGUAGGGUUGAAGCUAUACUUCUGUCUUUACCUACACCAUCUCCUUCUUCUCUCAUCACAUCUUCUCUUGAUAGGCUUCUCCCCAUCUUCUCUCAGUGGGCUCAAACACU